rnacentral:rRNA from 1 species
UACGAAGGGGGCUAGCGUUGCUCGGAAUUACUGGGCGUAAAGGGCGCGUAGGCGGCCUUCUAAGUCGAACGUGAAAUCCCCGGGCUCAACCCGGGAACUGCGUCCGAUACUGGCAGGCUUGAAUCCGGGAGAGGGAUGCGGAAUUCCAGGUGUAGCGGUGAAAUGCGUAGAUAUCUGGAGGAACACCGGUGGCGAAGGCGGCAUCCUGGACCGGCAUUGACGCUGAGGCGCGAAAGCCAGGGGAGCAAACGGG